rnacentral:rRNA from 1 species
UCCGACGGUGAGAGGCGAAGGCUGGGGGCGCAAACCGGAUUAGAUACCCGGGUAGUCCCAGCAGUAAACGAUGCCAGCUAUGUGUUGCUGGAACCAUGGGUUCCAGCAGUGCCGAAGGGAAGCCGUGAAGCUGGCCACCUGGGAAGUACGGUCGCAAGGCUGAAACUUAAAGGAAUUGGCGGGGGAGUACCACAACCGGUGGAGCCUGCGGUUUAAUUGGAUACAACGCCGGGAAUCUUACCGGAGGGGACAGCAGUAUGAAGGCCAGGCUAAAGACCUUGCCAGAUCAGCUGAGAGGAGGUGCAUGGCCGUCGCCAGUUCGUACCGUGAGGCAUCCUGUUUAGUCAGGCAACGAUCGAGACCCGCAGUCUUAUUUGCCAGCAUGCCCUUUGGGGUGUAUGGGUACAAUAAGACGACCGCCAGCGCUAAGCUGGAGGAAGGAGCGGGCUACGGUAGGUCAGCAUGCCCCGAAUCCUCCGGGAUACACGCGGGCUACAAUGGUCAGGACAAAAGGUACCGACCUCGAAAGAGUGAGGUAAUCCACAAACCUGAUCUCAGUCCGGAUCGAAGGCUGCAACUCGCCUUCGUGAAGAUGGAAUCGGUAGUAAUCGUGACUCAAAAUGUCACGGUGAAUAUGUCCCUGCUCCUUGCACACACCGACCG